rnacentral:rRNA from 1 species
CCUACGGGAGGCUGCAGUGGGGAAUAUUGCGCAAUGGGCGAAAGCCUGAUGCAGCGACGCCGCGUGAGGGAAGAAGGUCUUCGGAUCGUAAACCUCUGUCAGCAGGGAAGAACGGUCACUGUGCUAAUCAGCAGUGAUUCGACGGUACCUGCAAAGGAAGCACCGGCUAACUCCGUGCCAGCAGCCGCGGUAAUACGGAGGGUGCGAGCGUUAUUCGGAAUUACUGGGCGUAAAGCGCUCGUAGGCGGUAUGUCAAGUCAAGGGUGAAAUCCCCGCGCUCAACGUGGGAACUGCCUUUGAAACUGGCAAACUGGAGUGUGUGAGAGGAUAGUGGAAUUCCAGGUGUAGGAGUGAAAUCCGUAGAUAUCUGGAGGAACAUCAGUGGCGAAGGCGACUAUCUGGCACAUAACUGACGCUGAGGAGCGAAAGCGUGGGUAGCAAACAGGAUUAGAUACCCCAGUAGUC